GACAGAGGGGGCAAGCGUUGCUCGGAAUUACUGGGCGUAAAGGGCGCGUAGGCGGGAUGGCAAGUCGGUCGUGAAAUCCCUCGGCUCAACCGAGGAACGUCGAUCGAUACUGCUGUUCUUGAGGAUUGCAGAGGAGACUGGAAUUCCCGGUGUAGCGGUGAAAUGUGUAGAGAUCGGGAGGAACACCGGUGGCGAAGGCGAGUCUCUGGGCAAUUCCUGACGCUGAGGCGCGAAAGCGUGGGGAGCAAACGGGG
rnacentral:rRNA from 1 species